rnacentral:rRNA from 1 species
AUACCGGGCCUUUUUGGGCUUGGUAAUUGGAAUGAGGGAGAGUUAAACGGACCAUCGAGUAUCCAUUGGAGGGCAAGUCUGGUGCCAGCAGCUGCGGUAAUACCAGCUCCAAUAGCGUAUAUUAAAGUUGUUGCAGUUAAAAAGCUCGUAGUUGGACUUGUGUGCGCUGUCCGCGGGUGGCCUGCGCCCAAAAGGGCGUUUCGGUUCGGCCCCGGUGGCGCCUUGAAAUCUGCAGCUGGGGGGACGUUGGCCUUAACUGGUCGGCGACCGCACGCCGGCUGCUCGGUUACUGUGAGAAAAUUAGAGUGUUCAAGGCAGGCAUUGGGUGCAAUUGAAUACAUUAGCAUGGAAUAAUAAAAUAUGGCUCCUGCCGUAUUUUGUUGGUUUUGACUGGUGGGAGUAAUGAUUGAUAGGGACGGUUGGGGGUGCUAGUAUUGAGCGGCCAGAGGUGAAAUUCAUGAAUUCGCUCAAGACUAACUUAUGCGAAAGCAUUCACCAAGGACGUCCUCUUUAAUCAAGAACGAAAGUUGGGGGAUCGAAGACGAUCAGAUACCGUCGUAGUCUCAACCAUAAACUAUGUCGACUUGGGAUCGGCGGUAGUUUUUUCAUUAAGACACUGUCGGGACCACGGGAGAAAUCAAAGUGUCUGGACUCUGGGGGAAGUAUGGUCGCAAGGCUGAAACUUGAAGGAAUUGACGGAAGGGCACCACCAGGAGUGGAGCCUGCGGCUUAAUUUGACCCAACACGGGGAAACUUACCAGGUCCAGAGAUGUAGAGGAUUGACAGAUUGAAGCUCUUUCUUGAUCACUUCGGUGGUGGUGCAUGGCCGUUCUUAGUUGGUGGAGUGACUUGUCUGGUUAAUUCCGUUAACGAACGAGACCUCAGCCUGCUAGUGUAGUCGGCUGGAUUGCCUUUGGCGAUCCGUGAUUUCGACUUCUUAGAGGGACAAUCGACGCGCAGUCGAUGGAAGUUUGAGGCAAUAACAGGUCUGUGAUGCCCUUAGAUGUUCUGGGCCGCACGCGCGCUACACUGCUGGGCUCAGCGAGUUUUACUUGGCCGAGAGGCCCGGUUAAUCUUGUGAAAUCCCAGCGUGCUUGGGCUCGCCUCCUGCAACUGGAGGCGCCAACGAGGAAUUCCUAGUAGACGCAGGUCAUCAACCUGCAUCGAUUACGUCCCUGCCCUUUGUACACACCGCCCGUCGUUCCAUAAGAGUGAGGCAUCCGGUGAAUUCUCGGGAGAGCCUGGGCGUGGCCAGCAAUGGUCUGCUCGGGUUUGAACUUGCAUAAACUUGGUGCCUAUGAUUAGGG